CUGGUUCAGAACGAACGCUGGCGGCGUAGCUUAACACAUGCAAGUCGAACGCGAAAGGGACUUCGGUCCUGAGUAAAGUGGCGCACGGGUGAGUAACGCGUAGAUAACCUGUCUUCAUGUCUGGAAUAAUACGCCAAAGGGGUACUAAUACCGGAUAUUCUUGCUUUUCAUAAGUUAUGCAAGCAAAGGUGGCCUCUGCAUAUGCUACUGCAUGAAGAGGGGUCUGCGUACCAUUAGCUAGUAGGUGGGGUAAUGGCCUACCUAGGCGACGAUGGUUAGCGGGUCUGAGAGGAUGAUCCGCCACACUGGCACUGGAACACGGGCCAGACCCCUACGGGAGGCAGCAGUGAGGAAUAUUGCGCAAUGGGGGAAACCCUGACGCAGCGACGCCGCGUGAGUGAAGGAAGGCCUUCGGGUCGUAAAGCUCUGUCAAGAGGAAAGAAGUGUACAAUGGCUAAUACCUGUUGUAUUUGACGGUACCUCUAAAGGAAGCACCGGCUAACUCCGUGCCAGCAGCCGC
rnacentral:rRNA from 1 species